GCCAGUGCCUUGACUGUGGGAGCUGUGAUUCGGGCCGCCUCAACUGCUGCUGCUGCUGCCUUGGAUCAACGCCGGGUGCCGCUGGAGCCGGAGGACCUGCUGUCGAACGCCUGCACGCUCGCCACCGUCGGCAUCCUCUGCUUCCUUACCGCCUCCCAACUGCGACGCUGCGUUUCGCCGACUCGCCUUCUCAUGCGCCUAUGGCCGUGCCGGCCCGGCCGCCGUUCCGCUGCCGGCGAGCUCCCCGUGGACAUGCUAUCCAGGAAGCUCUCCCUUCCAUCUUGUUACAAAAACGGAAUCAACAUAAGCCGUAGAAGCUCGUGCGCCAACCCAAUUGAUUAG
rnacentral:lncRNA from 1 species